rnacentral:misc_RNA from 1 species
AACGCACGAGACCUGCGGACCUGCGGAAGGAUCAUUAAUGAGAAGCUGCCCCUCGUGGGUAGACCUCCCACCCUCUGUGAACUUACCUUUGUUGCUUUGGCAGGCCCGUCCUCUGGACCGCCGGCUUCGGCUGGCCCGUGCCUGCCAGAGGAUUCCAAACCCUGUCCGUCAGUGUUGUCUGAGUCUAUAUGAAAUCGUUAAAACUUUCAACAACGGAUCUCUAGAUCGGAAGAGCACACG